AUUAUUUCAACAUUUUGUUCGUUUCAAAUGAGGAGGAAGCUGAAACAAUGAUCUCUCCUGUACUCUUCAGUGACCCCCCUCAAAGUUUCAAUUUCCUUGCCUGCUCCCUAAGAGUGUUAACAGGGUUUUAUGAAGAUGCACUCAUGGAAACAACCUGAACCGAACCCUUUGUGCUCUAAAGAUGUGGCCUGGAUUUUGACUUCAGUUUGCAUUUCUACGGUGUGCUAAUGCAAUGAAGAAAAAGCCGGCUAUUUGCUUUAGGUACUUGAUGAAUUUCUCCUGAGUUACCUUCAGCUUUGUAAAGUUAUAAGUAAAGCAUGCAACUUCUGUUUGGCAGGAACCUUGCUGAAGUUCAAAACCAGACCAGCAACAACGUCAGAGUUCAAUAAGGAGACAUGCAGAUCUCUGCGUGGGAGAGACAGAAUAACCCCAGGCACCUCCGCAGGCUGAGAAGCCGCCAGUGGAGCAGCAGCCCUGCCAAAGGGGACCCACAGACAUGACAGUGGGUGUCAAGUUGAACACAAGCCUCCCACAUACAGGGCUUCCAGGCUGUUUUGUGGAGGAAUUUUAUGAUACUGUGAGGCCUAAGAUGAAAGAACCUCUCACUGCAGGUAGGUUUUGAACUGGGACCUAAAUGUCAGCAUUAUAGAAAUUAGACACUGAUGUCUUUGCCUAAGCAUUUCACGCGAUAAGCCUUCCACUAUUUGCUUGGGAAAUUAUAACAUGUUUUUUAUGUUAAUUUUCUCACAUUACAUUAAGUCUGCAAUAUAUUUACCAUCAACUUCACUAAUUUUACCUGUCAGAGAAA